ensembl:lncRNA
AAUGAAGUAAAAUGAUAACCAGAAAAGGAAUUUUCCCUUUUCACCUUUCAGACAAGUGAAAAUCCACAGAAUGGAGAUGGAAACCUAGGCUUACAUAAGGACUGAAAAGAACACCAUGCCCCCAAAUGAUAAAUCAUUGAUUACAUCCUCAUCUGAUGGCUGAAGGUCAGGAAUUGUACCCAUUUCCUUGCCUCAGGAAAAAUUGUUGACGUUUUCUUCUUUAUCAGUGCUAGAUCCUGGACAUUUCAAGCUGACAUCUUUUGAAUAACCAGGGCACAAGAAAGCAGGAAUUUUUCUAUAAGGAUCAGGUAGAGUCGAUUCUUCUACCUUAAUUGAGUUGUAAUUUAGAGGUUUCUGUUUUGCUUUGUUUUGUUUUCAUAAAGAACCCUUAAAAAUUAGCCCCCUAGGCAGAUAAUCUGAAGCAGUUGAAUUAUGGAACAAAGUACGAGUGGCUGUGGAGUCACAGGUAAUUUUUGUCUGUCAAUGAAGAAUAAAUUACUACCUGUGAACCCAAAUAUGUAUAAGCAGGAAGUCAAACAACCACUAGGGUAGUUUAGAUAUUGCUGAAACCGUUUAUCAAAUGUGGGGGUUUUUUGAAUCUUAUAAACUAAGCUACCAAAACACAGGGUGAUUCUGCAAUUUCUUCUCUGAGAUAAAUACAGCUGCUAUAGAAAGCAAAAUUGGAAGGAGAGACAAGAAGCUUUUUAUUCAUGGAAAAUUUGGAUUUUUGCAGUAAAUUUGAAAUGGAUACAAAGCCAUAUAUCUGUGCUGUGUCUUUUCUGAAAAAGAAAAAAAUAUGUAAAUGAAGGACAGAGCUUCUAAAACAAACCACUGUGCAUUGCAUGAAGUUUGUAGGGCCUGUGAUAAGUGAGAAAGCAAGAAGGAGAAAGAGAUGUGGUCUGGGAUACGUGAGAGAGAAAGAAGGAGAGAGGAGAGAUACACUCGCUGUUAUGUCCUUGGCUGAAGAAUUUGAGGACAAAAAAAUGUAAUUUGUAUUUUUUUUUUCUCAAAAGCUUCUGGAACACUACUUCAAAAAAAUGUUCAUGGGAUUUCUUAUGACCAUCAGAGGCAAUAUGUUAAUGCCUCUUUGCUUUUAAAACUGUCUUGAAAGAAGAGCAACAAAAUGCUUUAAACUUGCAUUUCAAUUUAUACUUUACAAGAUAUUUAUAUAUAUAUAUAUUUCUAUUUCAUCUUUUUUACUACAAUGUGUGCUUGUGAUGUACAUAAGAAGAAUUCAUUUCUACUAAUCUACUUGAACUAAAGGAUGAAACAGUAUAAAACAGGUUAAAUGCUAUUUCCCAAAUCACAAAUCACCUAUGUAAAGCCUUCUUAACAUCUAAGUUUUCAGAUCCCUACUUCAGGAUGGUUGUUUUUAUUUGCUCACAUUAUUUCUUGUAUGAUUUUCUUUGACAACUCAUUUGAUCUUUUUUUUUUUUUUUCAUGUGUGUGUGUGUGAGGAGGGGUGCAUCUUCACAUAAAAUGAGAAAAAAAAAAACCCGAGGUAUUAUUUUUCAAAACUAUAUUGGCUACAAUUAAAUGUAUUGUAUAAGCCACUAUUACUUAAUAAGUACAUACAUUGUAUAGAGAAGACAGCUGUAGCAAUUACUAAAGACAACAUAUGGCAGGUGUCUUAAAGCUCUAGGGUGACAACAGAAACAUAUGACUUCAGCUCGUUAUAAGUAUUUUCUAAGAUCGUCUUAAUUGCCAUAGUAAUUAAAAUGUACCAAUGUUUGUGAAAAUGUCAACUAACUUGAAUAUAUGGAAUGAAUAUGUUUGGCACUGUUAAAUUUACAUGAAAUAAACAUUUUAAGAAAAUGUAGUUUCACCCUAUACAUGUAUGCAUAUACAAUCGUAUAAAUAAAUCUUAGCACUUGAAUCUAUGUCUUACAAAGCUGUCAUAUAUCAUUUCUAUUUCCUGCAAAUAAAAU